rnacentral:rRNA from 1 species
AGGGCACCACCAGGAGUGGAGCCUGCGGCUUAAUUUGACUCAACACGGGGAAACUCACCCGGCCCGGACACCGUAAGGAUUGACAGAUUGAUAGCUCUUUCAUGAUUCGGUGGUUGGUGGUGCAUGGCCGUUCUUAGUUCGUGGAUCGAUUUGUCUGGUUUAUUCCGAUAACGAGCGAGACUCUAGCCUACUAAAUAGCCGGCAGGUUGCUUCUGCCUGUCCAGCUUCUUAGAGGGAUUUUCGGUGUUUAGCCGCACGAGAUUGAGCAAUAACAGGUCUGUGAUGCCCUUAGAUGUCCGGGGCUGCACGCGCGCUACACUGGCGAAAUCAGCGUGCUGUAUCCAUUCUCGAAAGGGAUUGGUAAACCCAUGAAAAUUUGCCGUGCUUGGGAUCGGAAAUUGCAAUUAUUUUCCGUGAACGAGGAAUUCCAAGUAAGUGCGAGUCAUCAACUCGCUCUGAUUACGUCCCUGCCCUUUGUACACACCGCCCGUCGCUGCCCGGGACUGAGUCAUUUCGAGA